AGUGAACGCUGGCGGUAGGCCUAACACAUGCAAGUCGAACGGCAGCACAGUAAGAGCUUGCUCUUACGGGUGGCGAGUGGCGGACGGGUGAGGAAUACAUCGGAAUCUACUUUUUCGUGGGGGAUAACGUAGGGAAACUUACGCUAAUACCGCAUACGACCUACGGGUGAAAGCAGGGGAUCUUCGGACCUUGCGCGAUUGAAUGAGCCGAUGUCGGAUUAGCUAGUUGGCGGGGUAAAGGCCCACCAAGGCAACGAUCCGUAGCUGGUCUGAGAGGAUGAUCAGCCACACGGGAACUGAGACACGGUCCAGACUCCUACGGGAGGCAGCAGUGGGGAAUAUUGGACAAUGGGCGCAAGCCUGAUACAGCCAUACCGCGUGGGUGAAGAAGGCCUUCGGGUUGGAAAGCCCUUUUGUUGGGAAAGAAAAGCAGCAGGUUAAUACCCCGCUGUUCUGACGGUACCCAAAGAAUAAGCACCGGCUAACUUCGUG
rnacentral:rRNA from 1 species